GCUGGGUGUGGUGACGCACGCCUGUAGUCCCAGCUACUUGGGAGGCUGAGGCAGAAUUGCUUGAACCUGGGAAGCAGAGGUUGCGGUGAGCCGAGAUCAUGCCAUUGCACUCCAGCCUUGGUGACAAGAGCGAAACUCCGUCUAAAAAAUAUAUAUAUAUAUAAUUACUAUUAUUAUUUUUUGAGAUGGAGUUUCGCUCUUGUCGCCCAGGCUGGAGUGCAAUGGCGCAAUCUCGGCUCACCGCAACCUCCGCCUCCCGGGUUCAAGCGAUUCUCCUGCCUCUG
rfam:Pan troglodytes isolate Yerkes chimp pedigree #C0471 (Clint) chromosome 17, whole genome shotgun sequence.